UUCCCAUCCCGAACAGAGAAGUUAAGCCCGGACGCGCCGAUGGUACUGGGGUCACACCCGGGAGAGUAGGUGGCCGCCAACC
rnacentral:rRNA from 1 species